UGAAUACGAGAUGCUACGGCAUUGAAGUAGUGUAUGUCAGACUUCCAAGAAAAGCUCGCAAUGUCAUAAAUAAAUAAUGCCUGUACCAUAACCGACACAGGUGGGUAGGUAGAGUAUACUAAGGGGCGCGAGAUAACUCUCUCUAAGGAACUCGGCAAAAUGACUCCGUAACUUCGGGAGAAGGAGUGCCUCAUUUAUGAGGUUGCAAUAACAAGAUCCAAGCAACUGUUUACCAAAAACACAGGUCUCCGCUAAGUCGUAAGACGAUGUAUGGGGGCUGACGCCUGCCCAGUGCCAGAAGGUUAAAGAAGUUGGUUAGCAUCCGCGAAGCUGAUAACUGAAGCCCUGGUGAACGGCGGCCGUAACGAUAACGGUCCUAAGGUAGCGAAAUUCCUUGUCGGGUAAGUUCCGACCCGCACGAAAGGCGUAAUGAUUUGGAUUCUGUCUCAGAGAGGGACUCGGUGAAAUAGACUUGUCUGUGAAGAUGCGGACUACCUGCACCAGGACAGAAAGACCCUAUGAAGCUUUACUGUAACUUGAAAUUGAAAUUGGACUUUAGUUGCGCAGUAUAGGUGGGAGGCGUUGAGUUUAUUCUUGCGGGAAUUUAGGAGCCAUCAGUGAGAUACCACUCUGCUAAUGUUAGAUUUCUAACUUUGCAUCAUAAUCUGGUCAAAGAACAGUUUCAGGCGGGCAGUUUGACUGGGGCGGUCGCCUCCUAAAUGGUAACGGAGGCGUACAAAGGUUUCCUCUGAACGUGUAGAAAUCGUAUCUAGAGUAUAAAGGCAUAAGGAAGCUUGACUGUGAGACUUACAAGUCGAGCAGGGACGAAAGUCGGUCUUAGUGAUCUGACGGUGCUGAGUGGAAAGGCCGUCACUCAACGGAUAAAAGUUACUCUAGGAUAACAGGCUGAUCUCCCCCAAGAGUUCACAUCGACGGGGAGGUUUGGCACCUCGAUGUCGGCUCAUCGCAUCCUGGGGCGGUAGUACGUCCCAAGGGUUGGGCUGUUCGCCCAUGAAAGCGGUACGCGAGCUGGGUUCAGAACGUCGUGAGACAGUUCGGUCCAUAUCCGGUGUAGGCGUUAGAAUAUUGAGAGGAGCCUUCUUUAGUACGAGAGGACCGAGAAGGACAUACCUCUGGUGUACCAGUUAUCGUGCCAACGGUAAACGCUGGGUAGCUAUGUAUGGAGUGGAUAACCGCUGAAAGCAUCUAAGUGGGAAGCCCACCUCAAGAUAAGUAUUCCC
rnacentral:rRNA from 1 species